rnacentral:rRNA from 1 species
UACGUAGGGGGCAAGCGUUGUCCGGAAUUAUUGGGCGUAAAGAGCGCGUAGGCGGUCCGAUAAGUCGGCUGUGAAAGUCAGGGGCUCAACCCUUGAAAGCCGGCCGAUACUGUCGGACUAGAGUCCGGAAGAGGCGAGUGGAAUUCCCGGUGUAGCGGUGAAAUGCGCAGAUAUCGGGAGGAACACCAAUGGCGAAGGCAGCUCGCUGGGACGGUACUGACGCUGAGGCGCGAAAGCGGUGGGGAGCAAACAGG